rnacentral:rRNA from 1 species
GACGAACGCUGGCGGCGUGCUUAACACAUGCAAGUCGAGCGGAAAGGCCCUUUCGGGGGUACUCGAGCGGCGAACGGGUGAGUAACACGUGAGUAAUCUGCCCCUGGCUUUGGGAUAGCCACCGGAAACGGUGAUUAAUACCGGAUACGACCACUUCUCGCAUGGGAUGGUGGUGGAAAGUUUUUCGGCCAAGGAUGUGAUCGCGGCCUAUCAGCUUGAUGGUGAGGUAAUGGCUCACCAUGGCUUCGACGGGUAGCCGGCCUGGGAGGGUGACCGGUCACACUGGGACUGAGACACGGCCCAGACUCCUACGGGAGGCAGCAGUGGGGAAUAUUGGACAAUGGGCGGAAGCCUGAUCCAGCAACGCCGCGUGAGGGAUGGCGGCCUUCGGGUUGUAAACCUCUUUCAGCAGGGACGAAGCGCAAGUGACGGUACCUGCAGAAGAAGCACCGGCCAACUACGUGCCAGCCGCCGCGGUAA